ensembl:lncRNA
CGUUUAGACACUCAUUCUGAAUGGUUAUGGUUUUGAAUAGGACUAAAACAUUACGUUUAGACACUCAUUCUGAAUGGUUAUGGUUUUGAAUAGGACUAAAACAUUACGUUUAGACACUCAUUCUGAAUGGUUAUGGUUUUGAAUAUAGUUAAAACAUUAAGUUUAGACUCUCAUUCUGAAUGGUUAAGGUUUUGAAUAGGACUAAAACAUUAAGUUUAGACACUCAUUCUGAAUGGUUAAGGUUUUGAAUAGGACUAAAACAUUACGUUUAGACACUCAUUCUGAAUGGUUAUGGUUUUGAAUAUAGUUAAAACAUUAAGUUUAGACUCUCAUUCUGAAUGGUUAAGGUUUUGAAUAGGACUAAAACAUUA